UACAGAGGUCUCAAGCGUUGUUCGGAUUCAUUGGGCGUAAAGGGUGCGUAGGUGGCGAGGUUAGUCAGGUGUGAAAUCGUCGGGGCUCAACCCCGAAACUGCACUUGAUACUGCCUUGCUCGAGUACUGGAGAGGAGACUGGAAUUUACGGUGUAGCGGUGAAAUGCGUAGAUAUCGUAAGGAAGACCAGUGGCGAAGGCGGGUCUCGUGGACAGUUCCUGACGCUGAGGCACGAAGGCCAGGGGAGCAAAACGGG
rnacentral:rRNA from 1 species